rnacentral:rRNA from 1 species
CGAGCGGCAGCGGAAGGAAGCUUGCUUCCUUGCCGGCGAGCGGCGGACGGGUGAGUAAUGUCUGGGGAUCUGCCUGAUGGAGGGGGAUAACUACUGGAAACGGUAGCUAAUACCGCAUAACGUCGCAAGACCAAAGUGGGGGACCUUCGGGCCUCACACCAUCGGAUGAACCCAGAUGGGAUUAGCUAGUAGGCGGGGUAAAGGCCCACCUAGGCGACGAUCUCUAGCUGGUCUGAGAGGAUGACCAGCCACACUGGAACUGAGACACGGUCCAGACUCCUACGGGAGGCAGCAGUGGGGAAUAUUGCACAAUGGGGGAAACCCUGAUGCAGCCAUGCCGCGUGUAUGAAGAAGGCCUUCGGGUUGUAAAGUACUUUCAGCGGGGAGGAAGGCAGCGAACUUAAUACGUUCGCUGAUUGACGUUACCCGCAGAAGAAGCACCGGCUAACUCCGUGCCAGCAGCCGCGGUAAUACGGAGGGUGCAAGCGUUAAUCGGAAUGACUGGGCGUAAAGCGCACGCAGGCGGUUUGUUAAGUCAGAUGUGAAAUCCCCGAGCUUAACUUGGGAACUGCAUUUGAAACUGGCAAGCUAGAGUCUUGUAGAGGGGGGUAGAAUUCCAGGUGUAGCGGUGAAAUGCGUAGAGAUCUGGAGGAAUACCGGUGGCGAAGGCGGCCCCCUGGACAAAGACUGACGCUCAGGUGCGAAAGCGUGGGGGAGCAAACAGGAUUAGAUACCCUGGUAGUCCACGCUGUAAACGAUGUCGACUUGGAGGUUGCGGUCUUGAACUGUGGCUUCCGGAGCUAACGCGUUAAGUCGACCGCCUGGGGAGUACGNCCGCAAGGUUAAAACUCAAAUGAAUUGACGGGG